rnacentral:rRNA from 1 species
GUCGAGCGGUAACAGGAAUUAGCUUGCUAAUUUGCUGACGAGCGGCGGACGGGUGAGUAAUGCCUGGGAAUAUGCCUUAGUGUGGGGGAUAACUAUUGGAAACGAUAGCUAAUACCGCAUAACGUCUUCGGACCAAAGAGGGGGACCUUCGGGCCUCUCGCGCUAAGAUUAGCCCAGGUGGGAUUAGCUAGUUGGUGAGGUAAAGGCUCACCAAGGCAACGAUCCCUAGCUGGUCUGAGAGGAUGAUCAGCCACACUGGAACUGAGACACGGUCCAGACUCCUACGGGAGGCAGCAGUGGGGAAUAUUGCACAAUGGGGGAAACCCUGAUGCAGCCAUGCCGCGUGUAUGAAGAAGGCCUUCGGGUUGUAAAGUACUUUCAGUCGUGAGGAAGGGUGUGUAGUUAAUAGCUGCAUGCCUUGACGUUAGCGACAGAAGAAGCACCGGCUAACUCCGUGCCAGCAGCCGCGGUAAUACGGAGGGUGCGAGCGUUAAUCGGAAUUACUGGGCGUAAAGCGCAUGCAGGCGGUCUGUUAAGCAAGAUGUGAAAGCCCGGGGCUCAACCUCGGAACCGCAUUUUGAACUGGCAGACUAGAGUCUUGUAGAGGGGGGUAGAAUUUCAGGUGUAGCGGUGAAAUGCGUAGAGAUCUGAAGGAAUACCGGUGGCGAAGGCGGCCCCCUGGACAAAGACUGACGCUCAGAUGCGAAAGCGUGGGGAGCAAACAGGAUUAGAUACCCUGGUAGUCCACGCCGUAAACGAUGUCUACUUGAAGGUUGUGGCCUUGAGCCGUGGCUUUCGGA